UCAAAACCAUUUUCUUAACACAAACUUCAUUCUUCUACCAAUCCUACCAAAUCUACCAAACACUGUCUUUCCACUAUUAACACUUCCACCAACCACUCCAUUUUUUUCUCGAUCCACCGAAUUAUACUUCCAAUAUUAAAAAUCCAUUAUUUUGUUGCAUAUACAAAAUAUAUUGCAAUUACAAACAUACAAGUAUAUUAAAUAUUACAAAAUUUGAUGAAUUUUGAAAUCCUGCGGGGCAAAAGUGGAAAUUAGAGAGUAACAUUAAUGGCUAGUUUGUGAUGGAAUUUAUGAAUAGUGUUUGUUACGUAGGAAUCAGAAGGUGUUAAAAGUUGUAGCAGGGUUUAGGCUUAAAACAAUUUUGUUGUGAUGUGUUGGGAGAAGUGAGGAGAGUUUGGUGAUGAUUAUUUAUUUAUUCCCUAUUCUAUUCCCUAUUAUUCUCUAUUCUCUGUUCUCUAUAAUAAUAACUAACACCAAACGCAGAAAUCGGAAGACGACAUGGCAUCGUCGAAGGUGGUGGUGACGACGAAUCCCGAUGUGGCGGCGCAGAGUUCGAUUUCGAGCCAGGUAUGGGACGAGGUGGUCGGCGGCGCUGAGUCUCAGGACAUGGCAAUCAGCCUCCACGAUUUGUUGUUGACCUCCGUUGCCAGAAACGACGCCGUUCCGCCCUCUCAUGGGGGAAGGGGAAAGAGAAAGGCCGUGGAGGAAGCCGUCGUGGAUAGGGCUACUCUUCAGAAACAGAGAAGGAUGAUCAAAAACAGAGAAUCUGCCGCUAGGUCCAGGGAACGCAAACAGGCUUAUACAGUUGAGUUAGAGUCUUUGGUUACACUUCUCGAGGAAGAGAAUGCUCGAUUGUUAAAGGAAGAGGCUGAAAGGAGAAAGCAGAGGUUCAAUCAGGUAUGUACAGUAUCCACUUCCCUUCUGCUUCAACCUGGGUGAUGAUGUAACUGGACUGGCGUAAUUCUUGAAUGCCUCAAGAAAACAAGUCAACUUUCAUUUAUUUGCUUUUAUAACUAUGAAUUGAAUGCUGAAUUCGAACAACAGCAGUUCAUGGGGUUUGAUCAGCUGCACCAUACAAUUGCUGUAGCAAUGUGAAGGACACAAUCCACCUACCCAUAUAAUUGCAGUGGUUAAAUUAGCUGAUGGAGUGCCUUAUUCCAGUUGAGGAGAAGAGUAAACCAAGACGAAUGCUUCGGCGAGUGAAUUCAGCACAGUGGUGAUGUAAUAUGCUGCUAGUCCUCACGGACUAGUUUUGAAGUCCUAGUGUAGAUACCAAACAAAUGAUGCAUGAUAGUGUUGAAGGGUAAAUAUGAAACAGAGAGGAAAAGAUUUGAAAGCUUAAUUUAUACACACAUAGCUUUGCUGAUUAUUUUGCAGGAUCAUUCCAAGUUACAUUGCUGCAUAGAGAAAAUGGACUAAUUUGAUUGAAGCUGAAGCUUAUUACCGGUUCACUAUUGAUGGAUAUUGAAGCUGAAGCUGAAGCUAAGUAAUGUUUUAAUAUAUUUGGGGGAAGGGAGUUGAAAUUAGAAUGUAUGAGUAAUGUUAAUUAGAUCGUCUGUUUUUUCAUGUUUUAGGGAGGAUACACUGAUAAACAUGGACUAUGUUGUAAUAGUAUUCUAACUUUCAUUUAUAAUUUUUACUGCAAAAUGCCUAUCUA